rnacentral:rRNA from 1 species
AUGGUAAAGAAGCAGGAACCCUCCACCCCGGCGGCCGGCGGGACGCCGUGGAAGGGGCGGCUGCGCUCGCGCCACGCGACUCCGCUCAGCUCCCCCUCUCCGUGGAUCCAGUCCCGAUCCAGGAACCGGGACGAGGACGCGGAGGCCUGCAAGUUCAAGAAGUUGGCCGCCCCCACAACCCCGGGGAGAAGCCGAUGCACCCACGACGAGAGCGGCGGAGCUGAGGGACGACCUCCGAAGGCUCUCCCACGCCGGUCGGCGCGGCUUACCGGCCGGGAUCCGGAGCACCCUAUUGUGCUCGACGAGGCGGACGAGGAAUGCGAAGUCAGGGGUAACCAAUGGGCGAUUACGCCUGUUCAGAGAUCUACACGGUUCCAACGAGGUGAUAAGAGUGUGAGCAAGCCCUUGGUGGAGAAGCAAAGUCACCACAAACUGCUGCCGUUCACACCAAAUCCCCGCGACAUUCCCCAUAAUAGCAAGACUCAAAAUCAAAAUGCUGUUAAGAAAGACAAAAAACUAGAGAAUCCACCAAGGAGUAGCCAGAGAAUUGCUGCAGUAAAAGCUUCUGCAAGGAUGGAAAAACACAAUAAGCUCCAGACAGUGUAUGAAGAUUCCCAAGAUGCUCCUGCCAGGAGAAAGCCUGCAGAUGCAUCUUACAAAAAGAGUGAGAUGCAAGAGCCAAAGCCCAGUCGUGGUGAGGAGCUGACAGGAAAGAGGAAGAGAGGCACCGGAAGAAAGCAGGCAUCAAGGAAGCAAACUCACCAGGAGCACAAAUCUGAUUGUCAAGAAAUUGUACCCAUCACUGAACCCAGAAACAUCAUCCACAAGAAGAGUGAAAAUAAUCCUUCUUCCAUAGUGCAGUCUAAAAUUGGUGAUGAUACACUGAUGAACACCAAGGAAUGCAGUGAAGAGCUAAGUGGGAUUAAAGAAGGGGUACAGCAACAAUGUUGUGCGUCAGAUGAAUGGACAGAAGAGCAGGACACUAUAUUGCGCCAGGCUUACUUCACUGCUCGACCAUCCCCACAUUUCUGGAAGAAAGUUUCUAAAAUGGUGCCAGGCAAAUCUGCCGAAGACUGCUUCAAUAGAGUUCAUGCUGACCUCUCAACGCCCACUCCAAUUGCCCCUCGUCCUCGAAGUAAAACACAGUUCUCUCCUCUAGCACAUUUCACAUUGUCUGAUCCAAAAUUUCCAAACCUCUUGGAACCUCUAGCCGGAAGACCAAGGACUGCCAAACAAAAGAGCCAAUUAGCACAGAAGACAGUGAGACACUUGCUAAAGAAGCAUUCCCUCAUUGACCAAGCUCAAGAGGCUGAUCACUUCUCUAUAUUUGAGACUUCACCAUCUGCUUUACAAUUGAACAUUCCUCUUGACGAUUCUCCUGGGACCCCUGACAAUUAUCUAAAGUCCUUUUCCCUUCACAAGUACAGCGUGAGUUCUUCAGCACGUAAGAGACCGUUGUCAAGGUUGAAAACUAAGCAUGCUGAACCGAGUCCACCAGUACUGAAGCCUCUAAAGAAUACUGUUUUGCACGAGAAGUAUAUUAAUCAGUUGACCCGAAGAGAAGGCGCAAAAAAGCCUCGUAAGAAGGCUGCUGGCACCAAUGCAACUGAUCCUGAGAGGCCUCUUUCGGAGCAGCGAGCUGGUAGUGUGAAGGCUGCAAAGAAUGCUCUCAUUUCAGAAGCAACAGACUUCAUAGGCCAGUUUAAGAAGUUGCAAGCCAAUUCCCUUGCACAUGUUCUGGAAAACAGUGAAGACGACGAGGAUAAUUCGGUGUAG